GGAAGCUGAUGUAGAAAACCUCACAAUCUCUGAACAGGCAGAGGGCUCCCUGCCAAGGCCGCCGCUACCAAACUUGGCCGGAGAGGGUCCACUCAGCGAUUUCUCAGGUGGAAAUGUAAAAUUUUCUGAUGUAAGAGAGAUGUUUUGAGAAUGAGUGGAAUUUGGAUUUCCGUUGUGACUGAUGAAAGAGAAGUGUGGAGACAACCUCAGAAUAUAGUUCGAAUUAAACAGUUUGGUAGAAUGGCAGAAUAAACAAAAAAACAGCUAAUUGUAAACUAUAUGCUAAUUUAUUCAAGCUUUUAUGUUUGUUGAGAAAGUCAUGUUUCUAGUUGCUAUGAUUUUAGGUACUAUUUGGUAGAAGGGAAUCAAGGAGCCGAUCAAUUAGCAAUUGAACAAUUCUAGUGGAGAAGAUGUAGCUACAUCAAUGGUCGGAGUGGAGAAAAGAGUACCUGUUUGACUUCUAGUGGAGAACCGAGGUGUGUCCAUAGGAGGGUAUGUCCCGGCUAUGAUUGACCGAAGACGAUGGAUCGGCGACGAUUGACCGGCAACGAUUGACUGGCGACGUUGGACCGGCGACGCUGGUGCCGAAUCGCCGAUGGUUGAUAUGUCGAUUUAGGGCAAAGAGGAGAGAUGUGGUGACUAGAGAGGCGCGGUGACUUUGAGUUUGAACAUUACGAUGAAAACAGUAAAAGGACAUCUCAACUUUUUCCCCAAUUCAGUAAAAGAUAAAAGGGGCAAGAAUAAUUUUAGGUCGUCUAUAUUGAGAAGGGUAGUAUGGUAAAUAUGUUUGAUGAGAAGGUUUUGGUUAGUUGUGGAGUGUACAGGGACUUAAAUAAAGACUUCAAAUAAAAUGAGUCUUUGGAAAAAUAUGUUGGUAAAUAAAAUAGGGAAAGCUCCGGUCAUUUUCAAAAAUAAAAAAAUAUAUAUUAAUUAAUGACAACAAUUAAUAGUCACUAACUAUUUUUCGGUUUGUAAAUCAGUCGUCACAGUUUAACUGCGUAUGGUUUAGAAUAAGAAAGAGUAAUUAGUGACCAUUAUUUUUGGUCACUCAACCUUAAAUAAAGUGACCCUUAUUUUUGGUCACUAGCCUCUAACACAGUGACCAUUUUUU
rnacentral:lncRNA from 1 species